AUUGAACGCUGGCGGCAUGCCUUACACAUGCAAGUCGAACGGCAGCACGGGUGCUUGCACCUGGUGGCGAGUGGCGAACGGGUGAGUAAUACAUCGGAACAUGUCCUGUAGUGGGGGAUAGCCCGGCGAAAGCCGGAUUAAUACCGCAUACGAUCUACGGAUGAAAGCGGGGGACCUUCGGGCCUCGCGCGGUUGGGGUGGCCGAUGGGUGAUUAGCUAGUUGGGGGGGUAAAGGCCUACCAAGGCGACGAUCAGGAGCUGGUCUGAGAGGGCGACCAGCCACCCUGGGGCUGAGACGCGGACCAGACUCCUACGGGAGGCAGCAGUGGGGAAUUUUGGACAGUGGGCGAAAGCAUGGUCCAGCAAUGCCGCGUGUGUGACAAAGGCCUUCGGGGUGUAAAGCACGUUUGUCCGGAAAGAAAUCCUUGGCCCUAAUACGGUCGGGGGAUGACGGUACCGGAAGAAUAAGCACCGGCUAACUACGUG
rnacentral:rRNA from 1 species